rnacentral:rRNA from 1 species
UGGGGAAUUUUGGACAAUGGGCGCAAGCCUGAUCCAGCCAUGCCGCGUGCGGGAAGAAGGCCUUCGGGUUGUAAACCGCUUUUGUCAGGGAAGAAAUCCUUUGAGCUAAUACCUCGGGGGGAUGACGGUACCUGAAGAAUAAGCACCGGCUAACUACGUGCCAGCAGCCGCGGUAAUACGUAGGGUGCAAGCGUUAAUCGGAAUUACUGGGCGUAAAGCGUGCGCAGGCGGUUAUGCAAGACAGAUGUGAAAUCCCCGGGCUCAACCUGGGAACUGCAUUUGUGACUGCAUAGCUGGAGUGCGGCAGAGGGGGAUGGAAUUCCGCGUGUAGCAGUGAAAUGCGUAGAUAUGCGGAGGAACACCGAUGGCGAAGGCAGCUUACUAUGGUUUUAUUGACGCUGAGGCACGAAAGCGUGGGGAUCAAACA